rnacentral:lncRNA from 1 species
GUGCUUUAAAACUAUUUCAUAAUCGUACAUCUGAUAUACUUAUUUAUUCGGUUUUGGUCGUUUCCACAGCUUUUCACGAAAUAUGCAACAUUCAUUGUACUAAAAUAUGGCACAUGAAUAUAAAUGAGGAAUGGAAAGUAUGGCAAUCUGGACCAUAUUAUGGGAUUAUUAAAUGUCACGCUGUUCCCUUUAAUUGCUCUUCCUCCUUUCAUGUGAUAUAGAGACAAAUUGGAGCAAAGGCUUAGAUUUUUCACUUUGAAAGCAUCCUUGACCU